UACGUAGGGACCAAGCGUUGUUCGGAUUUACUGGGCGUAAAGGGCGCGUAGGCGGCCCGAUUAGUCCGCUGUGAAAGUCCAGGGCUCAACCCUGGAAUGCCGGUGGAUACUGUCGGGCUAGAGUCCGGAAGGGGCGAGUGGAAUUCCUGGUGUAGCGGUGAAAUGCGCAGAUAUCAGGAGGAACACCAAUGGCGAAGGCAGCUCGCUGGGACGUGACUGACGCUGAGACGCGAAAGCGUGGGGAGUAAACAGG
rnacentral:rRNA from 1 species